rnacentral:rRNA from 1 species
GUGCAGCAGGCGCGAAAACUCUACAAUGCAGGCAACUGCGAUAGGGGAACAUCGAGUGGCGUCCAUAUUGGAUGUCUGUCCUCCCGCCUAAAAAGCGGGAGUUAGCAAGGGCCGGGCAAGACCGGUGCCAGCCGCCGCGGUAAUACCGGCGGCUCGAGUGGUGGCCGAUAUUAUUGAGUCUAAAGGGUCCGUAGCCGGCUUUGCAAGUCUCUCGGGAAAUCCAGCGGCUUAACCGUUGGUCGUCCGGGGGGUACUACAUUGCUUGGGACUGGGAGAGGUAGGAGGUACUCAGGGGGUAGGAGUGAAAUCCUGUAAUCCUUUGGGGACCACCGGUGGCGAAGGCGUCCUACCAGAACAGGUCCGACGGUGAGGGACGAAAGCUAGGGGCACGAACCGGAUUAGAUACCCGGGUAGUCCUAGCCGUAAACGAUGCUCGCUAGGUGUCACAACAGUCGUGAACUGUUGUGGUGCCGUAGGGAAGCCGUGAAGCGAGCCACUUGGGAAGUACGACCGCAAGGUUGAAACUUAAAGGAAUUGGCGGGGGAGCAC